rnacentral:misc_RNA from 1 species
GAUGAAGAACGUAGCGAAAUGCGAUAAGUAAUGUGAAUUGCAGAAUUCAGUGAAUCAUCGAAUCUUUGAACGCACCUUGCGCCCUUUGGCCAUUCCGAAGGGCAUGCCUGUUUGAGUAUCAUGAACACCUCAACUCUCAUGGCUUGCCAUGAUGAGCUUGGACUUUUGGGGGUCUUGCUGGCCUGCGGUCAGCUCCUCUCAAAUGAAUUAGCUUUCCAGUGUUUGGUUGGCAUCACAGGUGUGAAAACUAUCUACGCUUGUGGUUUCCACCAGGUAACCUUCAGUAACAUGGGGGUUUGCUGGAGCUCAUAAAUGUCUCUCCUCAGUGGGGACAGCUCUUUGAACGUUUGAUCUCAAAUCAGGUAGGACUACCCGCUGAACUUAAGCAUAUCAAUAAGCGGAGGA